rnacentral:rRNA from 1 species
UUCCAGACUCCUACGGGAGGCAGCAGUGAGGAAUAUUGGUCAAUGGACGAGAGUCUGAACCAGCCAAGUAGCGUGAAGGAUGACUGCCCUAUGGGUUGUAAACUUCUUUUAUAUGGGGAUAAAAUGUUCCACGUGUGGGAUUUUGUAUGUACCAUAUGAAUAAGGAUCGGCUAACUCCGUGCCAGCAGCCGCGGUAAUACGGAGGAUGCGAGCGUUAUCCGGAUUUAUUGGGUUUAAAGGGUGCGUAGGCGGACAGUCAAGUCAGCGGUAAAAAUGCGGUGCUCAACGCCGUACAGCCGUUGAAACUGGCAGUCUUGAGUGGGCGAGAAGUAUGCGGAAUGCGUGGUGUAGCGGUGAAAUGCAUAGAUAUCACGCAGAACUCCGAUUGCGAAGGCAGCAUACCGGCGCCCGACUGACGCUGAGGCACGAAAGCGUGGGUAUCGAACAGGAUUAGAUACCCUAGUACC